GCAAGUGGUUAAAGCCUCCCAAAUAACUAAGUGUAAGCUCAUAAAAAACGAAAACUGCCAAUUUUGUUACAGUUGAGAAAAUAUGUAAGCUUAUCAAACACAAUGUCUCAAGCUCAUUUUUUUUCUCUUCCAUCUGCUUAUGCACAGCACGUAACUAAGUGGUUAAAGCUUAAAAGUAUCCAUAUCAAACAGAAUUAAAUUUCAUAUCCAGGUUUCACACUCUGAAUGCUUCCAUCAUAUCUGAUCCACUUUUACUUCUACUGAAAGUGUGCUCUAUUUUGAUGGACAUAACAAAGGUAAGAAAAUCAAAUUGUGGAACAGAUCAGUAUAGAAAAAUAUUGAACCAACUCCAAUAGUUGUUUGUUAGAAUUUAGACCAACAUAAGAGCAUCCUAGCAGAUCCAGUAAAAACGGUCAAACCUUCAGAUUUACUGUACAGGUUGGAAAAAAAACACCGAAUAGAUCCUGUAAAAUAGCAUACCCCAUAUUUUUUUACAGGUUCCCGUAUAUUAGAGCAACCAUCUGUCAUAUUUGGAGGAUUCAAACCGUUUUUUGAGGAUCCCAUAAAACCGGUCAACACUGGAGCAGGGGGCCUGGCAACGCCGCGUGCGAGCAGCGAGCAGGCGGAGGAGCUCGGCAGCGGCUGGCCGGAGCAUCGCCAGAGCAUGCGGCGGGACGGAGCAUCGACGGAAAGUCGCUGGAGCAGGCAGCAGGCCAGAGCGGCGCCGGAGUAGGCGGCAGGCCGGAGCGGCGCCGUUCCAGCCGGCCGGAGUUCGAGUCCGUCCAUGCGUGCGUCGGGGAAGAAGCGUGAGGAGAAAACAAAGAAAAAAACUUUUAUUGUACGGGUUUAUGGGAUCUGUUCCGCCCGAUGCCCCGCGGUACCGUAAAUUCGUUAUAAGGGGACCUGUAAACUGUUUUUACAGGUGGUGUUUUUACGGGAUCUGCUAGAGAUGCUCUAAAUAUUAGUACUAAUUCAAAGUUAAUGGAGCAAUAUGAUGAAGUCAUGGAUAUUAGGUUUUGCAUUCAAAAUGAUCAGAUCCACUUUAGCAGCAAGAAUAUAACAAAAUGUACACCCAAAUCAUUGAGCACCAGCACUUAGAUUUUACCUUUUUGUUGCAGCAGAAGUGUUUCAACUAUUAAGUAAAACUACUUUGUUUACUUCCAUUUUGUUCUGGAAACAUGGUAGUAAUAAAUUUUACAUUAACGACUACAAACAACAGCAACGGUUGAAUAAUGUAAGAAGUU
rnacentral:rRNA from 1 species